AUUGAACGCUGGCGGCAUGCCUUACACAUGCAAGUCGAACGGCAGCAUAGGAGCUUGCUCCUGAUGGCGAGUGGCGAACGGGUGAGUAAUAUAUCGGAACGUGCCCUAGAGUGGGGGAUAACUAGUCGAAAGACUAGCUAAUACCGCAUACGAUCUACGGAUGAAAGUGGGGGAUCGCAAGACCUCAUGCUCCUGGAGCGGCCGAUAUCUGAUUAGCUAGUUGGUGGGGUAAAAGCCUACCAAGGCGACGAUCAGUAGCUGGACUGAGAGGACGACCAGCCACAAUGGGACGGAGACACGGCCCAGACUACUACGGGAGGCAGCAGUGGGGAAUUUUGGACAAUGGGGGCAACCCUGAUCCAGCAAUGCCGCGUGAGUGAAGAAGGCCUUCGGGUUGUAAAGCUCUUUUGUCAGGGAAGAAACGGUAGUAGCUAAUAUCUACUACUAAUGACGGUACCUGAAGAAUAAGCACCGGCUAACUACGUGCCAGCCGCCGCAGUAA
rnacentral:rRNA from 1 species